UGUGUACUCCGAGUCGUCUUCAGUGGCUGAUUGGUCUGUUUGACACACUGUAAACACUACGGCGGCGGUGUAAAUAAUUUCACUGUUUGAUUGUAUACAGGUAUCCUCCUGUCCAUCUCCAUUGCUUGUCGAGGAGUUGGUCUCACAGUGCUCUUGAUUUGUUUGAGGCAUUUAAUGACUUGAAAGUGGUGUGGCUCGUUGUGCGUGUAGCAGCCGUUUUUUCUCCUUAUUUUUGAGAAUGAGCAGAGAAAGUUCCGGUUUCACUCCACAGUCAAAAAAGGGUAGGAAAUCUUUGCUUUGCGCUGGCCAUGUGUGCGGAUCUUGCCAGGUAUGGUUCCAACUAGGUAGCCCGUCGACUGUUGCACAUCUUCACAGCAGUGAAGACAUUAGACACCCUGCGACUGAGAAAAAAGCACCUCAAUUUUCUACUUACCUUUCCAUGGGCAGAGACGUCCAAUUUCAAUUGGGCUCUGACAGUUGCCUCUGUAAGGCGUGCUACACAGAUUGCUUGAGGCAUGCUCCAAAAAUGAUAGAAAGGCCAAGAUGGCAAAAACAUAGUCAACUAUGGCAUUGCCCCUUGUGUGAUAAAGAGUCCGACAAAGAUUGCAUGUGCAAAGACAUUUCUUCUUGGCACCUUCUGUCUGAUUUAAUAGAUGCACAGCCAGAAAUGCUGAAAGUCUAUUUUAAUCUGCAUGUUGAUUUUGAUUCAUGACUUCGAAAGAUAAAGCUUUAUUUUUUAGUUAUGGGUGAUUUCUCAUUGCACAUGUGCAGUAAACGUAUACUGUAAUCUGCCCCAUGUGUUUGCCCUACUGAAGUUUGAAUGCCCAGUUGAUUUCGCACCGAGGCAUCAGCACCCCUGGUGCUAUUACUAUUAGCACAGGUAAUAGGUCUUGUGGACUGUUCAAAGACUAGACAGAUUUGGGUGGGUCAAUGAAGUCCCGGAUGUUGCAUGGCAACACAUCAGAUGUGUGACCUGCUCCUGUUUUGCUAUGAAAGUCUCAUUUGUUACUGUAUUUAUUCAAAGGUUGUGUGUGUUGACCUGACCGUCUCUUGUGUUUAUAUACUGUUUGACGUUGACACUGCUGGCAGCAGAUCCUUCCUGAAUUGGCUCAUGGUCACAGCACACAACUGAAGCUGCACAAAGGGCAAUCACUGUGAAGAUUCCUAGGUCGACAGCAGAAUCAGUAGGACAUGCUUUACUCUGCGUAGAUCACUACGGGAGACUACCUGUUGGGGUGUGGUGCCUCCAAAGAAUAGAAACUUGUCCAUAACUUUCUUACGCAGGGCUGUGGAAGAAAAUAGAAAAUACUGGACUGUCGGCAAGGCACUGCCACUGUUAACAUACAAUUAGAAUUGUCGCUGUCUUCUACAAUUAAGAAUAUACAGACCUGUUGUCUUGUCUGCUGACUACAAGA